rnacentral:rRNA from 1 species
UACCCGCUGAGAAAUUAAGCAUAUAAGUAAGUGGUGGAAAUUAAACCAAAUGGGAUUCCUUAAGUAAUUGCGAAUGAACAAGGACAUGCUUAGCUUGACAAUUGGAGCCUCUGGCUUCGACUUGUAUUUUUGAAAUGUAUUACCAACAGAGGUGCAGGUGUCAGCCUAUUGAAAGAAAGCGUCAAUGAGGGUGAGAAUCCUGUUUGUCAUGUGCAAUCCUCUGUGCACGGUGUAUGUUUGCUGAGUCACACUCCUUGGCAUUGGAAUGCAAAGUGGGUGGUAAGUUUCAUGUAAAGGUAAAUAUAGGAUUGAGACUGAUAGCACACAAGUACCAUGAGGGAAAUAUGAAAAGGACUUUGAAAAGAGAAUUAAAUGAGUUUGUAUUUGCUGAACAGAAAAUAAACAGAUUUGAUGUUGCUUGGUGAGAUUGUGGUGCUUGCUUGACAAUAGGUUUUGAUUGUGGGUGUGAUGAUUCUUGCUUUGCUUGCCAGUUUCUAUUUGUACAUUUGAUUACCCUUGCACAUGAAUGGUAAUUUUCCUGCGGGGUUUGGAUUGCAUGUGUUUGUGAUGAUUUGUGUUUUGAUACAUGUGUCUGGUGCUUUUGUAAUUGCUCAUUUCUUGAAGCUGGGCCUACCCUACUAGAGCUUACAAGCCCUGGCACACAAUUGCUGGCAAAAUGCUUCUGCUUGACCCGUCUUGAAACACGGACCAAGGAGUCUAACAGAUGUGCAAGCUUGAGGGUUGCAUACCUUUGUGCGCAAUGAAAGUGUUGGCUGGGAUAUUUGCACCAGCAGCCGACCAAUUAGCAGACAGAGGUUCGAGUUGGAGCAUAUCUAUUAGGACCCGAAAGAUGGUGAACUAUGCCUGAACAGAAUGAAUUCAGAGGAAACUCUGAUGGAGGUUCGUAUCGAUACUGACGUGCAAAUCGUUCGUCAUAUUUGGGUAUAGGGGCGAAAGACUUUUGGCCCCCG